GUUGUAACUCAGUUGGUAAAGUACUCGCCUCACAUGCACAAGGCCCUGGGUUCAAUCCCCAGCACAACA
rnacentral:tRNA from 1 species